rnacentral:rRNA from 1 species
CCAAGUCUUUGAAGAGAGAGUUCCCUAGGACGUGAAACCGAUAGGAUGGAAGCAGAUGAAGUUGACGAACGUGUGUUGUAUUCAGAGUUGCACUUUGGUGCGGCUUGUUCUUACAGCCGAUGUGGGCUGGCGGCUUUGGUCAAUGCAAUGUGUCUAGCGUCGAUGGUGACCCUGCGGAGGGAUAAUCGGUCGGCGUACGGUGCUUGGUAUGGCUAAGGUUUCGCCGGUCUUAAAGUCAGCGCCUCAUCUGACCCGUCUUGAAACACGGACCAAGGAGUGUAGCGUUUACGCAAGUCUUAGAGUGUGUCGAAACUUUGAGGCGUAACGAAAGUAAAUGCAGUUUAAUCUGCUGACUUGGGAUGCGUUGUCUCUUGUGGACGGCGUUGGACCAUGGUUUUAUCGCGAUCGCUUGCGAUGCGGUGAAAAUAGAGCGUAAACGGUGCGACCCGAAAGAUGGUGAACUAUGCCUGAGCAGGAUGAAGCCGGAGGAAACUCUGGUGGAAGUCCGAAGCGGUUCUGACGUGCAAAUCGAUCGUCUG